rnacentral:rRNA from 1 species
GCAUAUCAAUAAGCGGAGGAAAAGAAACUAACAAGGAUUCCCUUAGUAACGGCGAGUGAAGAGGGAAGAGCUCAAAUUUUAAAUCUAUCAUGUUUGUACAUGAUCGAGUUGUAAUUUGAAGAAGCGUUUUCUCGUACUUUAUGCAAUCAGUAUAAGUUCUCUUGGAACAGGACAUCAUAGAGGGUGAUAAUCCCGUCUGUUACUGGUUGUGAGGUUCGUUAUGAUACGCUUUCAAAGAGUCGAGUUGUUUGGGAUUGCAGCUCCAAAUGGGUGGUAAACAUCACCUAAGGCUAAAUAUUUGCGAGAGACCGAUAGCGAACAAGUACCGUGAGGGAAAGAUGAAAAGAACUUUGAAAAGAGAGUUAAAAAGUAUGUGAAAUUGUUGAAAGGGAAACGAUUGAAGUCAGUCGUGCAGUCAUCAAUUCAGCGGUUAACAUUUUUAUGUUCCCGUGUAAUUUGGUGUCUGUUGGUUAGCAUCAAUUUUGAUUGUUAUAAAAAGGUUAAGGGGAUGUGGCUCCUUCGGGAGUGUUAUAACCCUUAGCGUAAUGUAACGAUUAGGAUUGAGGUUUGCAACGAAUACCUUUUAGGGCAGUUUCACCUGGCCUCUCGUGGAAUUAUAGAUAGUUAAGAGCAUGCUCUUACUGUCUAUGAUUCUACGAAAAGGUUGGAGUGUAAAACUAAUUCGUUAAGGAUGUUGACGUA